rnacentral:rRNA from 2 species
AUGAAGAACGUAGCAAAAUGCGAUACUUGGUGUGAAUUGCAGAAUCCCGUGAACCAUCGAGUCUUUGAACGCAAGUUGCGCCCGGAGCUGAGAGGCCGAGGGCAUGCC